rnacentral:rRNA from 2 species
AAAUUGAAGAGUUUGAUCAUGGCUCAGAUUGAACGCUGGCGGCAGGCCUAACACAUGCAAGUCGAACGGUAACAGGAAGCAGCUUGCUGCUUCGCUGACGAGUGGCGGACGGGUGAGUAAUGUCUGGGAAACUGCCUGAUGGAGGGGGAUAACUACUGGAAACGGUGGCUAAUACCGCAUAACGUCGCAAGACCAAAGAGGGGGACCUUCGGGCCUCUUGCCAUCAGAUGUGCCCAGAUGGGAUUAGCUAGUUGGUGAGGUAACGGCUCACCAAGUCGACGAUCCCUAGCUGGUCUGAGAGGAUGACCAGCCACACUGGAACUGAGACACGGUCCAGACUCCUACGGGAGGCAGCAGUGGGGAAUAUUGCACAAUGGGCGCAAGCCUGAUGCAGCCAUGCCGCGUGUAUGAAGAAGGCCUUCGGGUUGUAAAGUACUUUCAGCGGGGAGGAAGGUGUUGUGGUUAAUAACC